rnacentral:rRNA from 1 species
UACGUAGGGUGCGAGCGUUAAUCGGAAUUACUGGGCGUAAAGCGUGCGCAGGCGGUUCGUUGUGUCGGCGGUGAAAGCCCCGGGCUCAACCUGGGAAUGGCCGUUGAAACUGGCGAACUGGAGUGUGGCAGAGGGGGGUGGAAUUCCGCGUGGUAGCAGUGAAAUGCGUAGAGAUGCGGAGGAACACCGAUGGCGAAGGCAGCCCCCUGGGCUAACACUGACGCUCAGGCACGAAAGCGUGGGGAGCAAACAGG